rnacentral:rRNA from 1 species
UACGUAGGGGCCUAGCGUUGUCCGGAAUUAUUGGGCGUAAAGAGCUCGUAGGCGGUUCGGCAAGUCGGAUGUGAAAUCUCCACGCUUAACGUGGAGGGGCCGUUCGAAACUGCUGUGACUCGAGUCCGGUAGGGGAGUGUGGAAUUCCCGGUGUAGCGGUGAAAUGCGCAGAUAUCGGGAGGAACACCAGUAGCGAAGGCGGCACUCUGGGCCGGAACUGACGCUGAGGAGCGAAAGCGUGGGGAGCGAACAGG